AAAAAUCUAUUUCACAAACACACCUAUAAACAACGAAGAGUGAGUGGUAAAGAAAUAUAAAAAUAAAACACACAUGUAUAACAAGACCAUCGCUAGUAUUUUUAGAAUUUUUUAUAAUGACAUAGAUAGGCAUAUCUCAUGUAUCAACAUAUUAAAUAAUGUGUACGUUUAAUUUCUAGAAACUCAUUAUAACUUAAACACAUAUCCGUAAGAAAAAUUAGACAUCAAGUACGGGCAUAUUAAUGCAUAUAAAUAGAUAUUUCACAUUCACAACUAGAGUUCGGUUCAAUUUGUUGCAAAUGACAUCAUAAAUUUAACUAGAAACAUUCUGUUAGCAUUCUAACCUGACACGUAUGUUCAUUAUGAUGAACUAACACACAAGUCGCACAUAAACAUUUUAGUCACACAAACAUUUUGUUGAACAAGUAACUUCACACACCCGAACGGGAAAAGGCGUAAAUGUUUGAUAUUAAUAAGAAUAUCUAGAGUUUGAAUAUGUACACUUUUCAAUGAAAACCACAGGGUAUCUGAUCAUAACGGUUGAUAUAAAUCAUUCAUUCAUUUAUUAAAUUUACACGUCAUUUUAGUAUUUUUUGUAGGUCAUCUUGCAAUUCGAGAUUGUCUUGGUGUAAAGGUACUUUCCGACAUCUGUGGUGAGUAGACUACUGAGUGCAACACUUGUAAUCUGGUACCUCCAAUAUAUUACUUGUCCACUUAAUAAUUGGUUCAUGGAAGAAACAAUUUACCUAUAAUCUUCUUGGGCAAAUUAUUUUUUUUGGGAAACAUUUUUUUUUGAAAAAUAAAUUAUUUAUUUUAUCAAAUCUAGUUUAUGUCAAAGGUUUUUUGGUAUGGGCCCGCAUCGCUUCAUCUGCAUCUCUCAAAUUAAAAUUAAAUCUAAAUUUAAACUUAUUACAUAGUUUUGUGGUGGUAACAUGGAAUUAUUGUUUAACAUUUGGCUUAUAUAUGUAAUUGUAUAUUUCAAUUAUGUAGAAUUUUUGUUUAAAUCCAUGUAAGUACUUGGUGUCAGUCCUUACAUUUUUUUUUGUUUAUCUUGUUAUUUUAUUUUAAUGUUUGUAAUAUAUUUAGUAUUUGAUUUUAUUCUUUUAAGUCAAUAAUAUAAAAAUUUCACAUGAUACAAUGCUAAUUUCAAAAACAAGUCUAAAAUAAAAUCGAAGAAUAUUUGAUAGAUCCAAAGCAAAAACCUCAAAAAUAACCGUGACUAAAAACAAAUUGUAAAAUAUUUGCUAGGACAAUAUAUAUAUUUAAACUGUAAAAUUUUAAUAUAAUAUAUAGUUUCUUUAAAUAUGAUAUUAAAUAUCAAAGUGUUUAAUUUAUUUUCAAUUUUAUGUUAUAUCCUAAGUUUAUAAUGGUGUUCGAAUCACCAAGUAACAACUCUAAAUACGCAUUUCAUUGACAUGUAAACAAAUAUUUUUGAGGGUGAGUGGUAAAUUAUUUUGAAAGUUAAAGUAAACAUAUGAAUAUCAUCUUCCAUGUUUACAUAGCUUUUCAUAUUGGAAGAUAUAAGACUUGUCGUGUAUCAACAUACACAACGGUUACUACAUUAAGUAAUUAGAUAAACAUUAACACGUUAUUACACUUCAACAAACAAUCAUAUGAUAAUAUUUAGCGAGUUUACGGCACAUAUACAAAAUUUAAUGCACUUUUACAAUUAGAAAUCUAUCCCUAUUUUUUCAAGUCACGAAACAUGUUCAACAAACUAGUUAUCUCUAAGAAGUAUUAUAACAUGAUAUUUAUGGUCAUCAUGAUAUUAGGAAACACAUGUCACACAUACAGUUGCGAGUCACACGUACAUUUUAUUUAUUAACCGACUCCAAAUACAAAAAAAUGAAGUGAUAGAUAGUAAUUAUAUUAAUAUCUAUAUUUUUAAUCUCAAAUAACUUAUUCCUUACUAAUUAAUUAUGUCUUGCAUUUCAUGCACUAUUUUGAUUUGUAACAUGUUUUUUGAAUAAAAACAAAAUUAUAUUUGAAAAUUCUAUCAGAGCCUGGUUUCGAUCCAGGGACCUGUGGGUUAUGGGCCCACCACGCUUCCGCUGCGCCACUCUGAUUAACGUUUAAUUCAAUAAUUUCAUCUAAUAAAUAUAUUAUGCGUUGGUGAUAUCAAAUGAUAAAUUUCAUUUGGUAAAGAGUUCAUGUCCAAAUAACAACGAGCAAUAAACCAUUUAUCAUAUUUUCACCUUUAUGCUUGCUACACAUCAUACCAAUGCUAGAAUAACCAACAACUAACUUAAAAAAAUCUAUUUCACAAACACACCUAUAAACAACGAAGAGUGAGUGGUAAAGAAAUACAAAAAAUAAAACACACAUGUAUAAGAAGAUCAUCGCUAGUAUUUGUAGAAUUUUUUAUAAUGACAUAGAUACGCAUAUCUCAUGUAUCAACAUAUUAAAUAAUGUGUACGUUUAAUUUCUAGAAACUCAUUAUAACUUAAACACAUAUCCGUAAGAA
rnacentral:lncRNA from 1 species